UUCAGGUCCAUAUAAAAGAGGAGCUCUACAGCUAGGAAGAGCAACACUUAGAGCUGGUCCAGUGAACGCCUUGGCUUCCUCCUGCAACAACUGGUGGAGAUGAUGGUCAACCACAGAAGAACACAAGCCCUAGCAAGUGCCUCAGGGAAAUCCAAUAGCAACCUGACCCCCACUGACAGGCCUGCAUUGAAAUAGGAACAAGACUGAAGUGAGUAGAAUUGUUAUGGCAAAGAAAAGGCUGCUUGGAGGAGAAGCUUGGAUUGGCUAGCUGAACUAAUGAAAGAGGACGCGUCAUAACUCUGUGCUCACUGGAAUUCCAAGCCGAGUCCUCGAGGGGUUAAAUCCUGGCACUGCGGGGUGUGCUG